UAUAUUUUGGUGUUAAGGUGCACAAGGAUUUUUGAUUUCCUAAGUUAUGGUUUAAUUCCAUAAAAUAUAA
rnacentral:tRNA from 2 species